rnacentral:rRNA from 1 species
GAUGAACGCUGGCGGCGUGCCUAAUACAUGCAAGUCGAGCGAACGGACGAGAAGCUUGCUUCUCUGAUGUUAGCGGCGGACGGGUGAGUAACACGUGGAUAACCUACCUAUAAGACUGGGAUAACUUCGGGAAACCGGAGCUAAUACCGGAUAAUAUUUUGAACCGCAUGGUUCAAAAGUGAAAGACGGUCUUGCUGUCACUUAUAGAUGGAUCCGCGCUGCAUUAGCUAGUUGGUAAGGUAACGGCUUACCAAGGCAACGAUGCAUAGCCGACCUGAGAGGGUGAUCGGCCACACUGGAACUGAGACACGGUCCAGACUCCUACGGGAGGCAGCAGUAGGGAAUCUUCCGCAAUGGGCGAAAGCCUGACGGAGCAACGCCGCGUGAGUGAUGAAGGUCUUCGGAUCGUAAAACUCUGUUAUUAGGGAAGAACAUAUGUGUAAGUAACUGUGCACAUCUUGACGGUACCUAAUCAGAAAGCCACGGCUAACUACGUGCCAGCAGCCGCGGUAAUACGUAGGUGGCAAGCGUUAUCCGGAAUUAUUGGGCGUAAAGCGCGCGUAGGCGGUUUUUUAAGUCUGAUGUGAAAGCCCACGGCUCAACCGUGGAGGGUCAUUGGAAACUGGAAAACUUGAGUGCAGAAGAGGAAGGUGGAAUUCCAUGUGUAGCGGUGAAAUGCGCAGAGAUAUGGAGGAACACCAGUGGCGAAGGCGACUUUCUGGUCUGUAACUGACGCUGAUGUGCGAAAGCGUGGGGAUCAAACAGGAUUAGAUACCCUGGUAGUCCACGCCGUAAACGAUGAGUGCUAAGUGUUAGGGGGUUUCCGCCCCUUAGUGCUGCAGCUAACACAUUAAGCACUCCGCCUGGGGAGUACGACCGCAAGGUUGAAACUCAAAGGAAUUGACGGGGACCCGCACAAGCGGUGGAGCAUGUGGUUUAAUUCGAAGCAACGCGAAGAACCUUACCAAAUCUUGACAUCCUUUGACAACUCUAGAGAUAGAGCCUUCCUCUUCGGGGGACAAAGUGACAGGUGGUGCAUGGUUGUCGUCAGCUCGUGUCGUGAGAUGUUGGGUUAAGUCCCGCAACGAGCGCAACCCUUAAGCUUAGUUGCCAUCAUUAAGUUGGGCACUCUAAGUUGACUGCCGGUGACAAACCGGAGGAAGGUGGGGAUGACGUCAAAUCAUCAUGCCCCUUAUGAUUUGGGCUACACACGUGCUACAAUGGACAAUACAAAGGGCAGCGAAACCGCGAGGUCAAGCAAAUCCCAUAAAGUUGUUCUCAGUUCGGAUUGUAGUCUGCAACUCGACUACAUGAAGCUGGAAUCGCUAGUAAUCGUAGAUCAGCAUGCUACGGUGAAUACGUUCCCGGGUCU